rnacentral:lncRNA from 1 species
GGAGGCUCAGCUAUCCCUUGGAAGCAGCCUUCCAGCCACUUGGAAGGGGGCUGCCUGGAACAAGGGCCCCCUCUGCCCCAUGGGAGGAUCUAUGCCCCAACCCAGGCCCCUGGGGGUUAGGGGCUCUCCUUCGCCCAGCUCUGUGAGGCCAAGUUCUACAACAGUCUUCGGGGGCCAGAAGACACAUUCUCAGACUCCUGUUGCACAGCCUGGGUCUCAACACAGACUACUUGGAAUCUCAGUGCUAUUGAGAUGUAUAUAUCUUCAUUCUAAAGUGAUGCUUAACACAAUGGAUUGACCUUAUUGAUUCC